rnacentral:rRNA from 1 species
AGAGUUUGAUCCUGGCUCAGACGAACGCUGGCGGCAGGCUUAACACAUGCAAGUCGAGCGGGCCCUUCGGGGUCAGCGGCGGACGGGUUAGUAACGCGUGGGAACGUGCCCUUUGCUCUGGAAUAGCCCUGGGAAACUGGGGGUAAUACCGGAUGUGCCCUGAGGGGGAAAGAUUUAUCGGCAAGGGAUCGGCCCGCGUCUGAUUAGGUAGUUGGUGUGGUAACGGCGCACCAAGCCGACGAUCGGUAGCUGGUUUGAGAGGAUGAUCAGCAACACUGGGACUGAGACACGGCCCAGACUCCUACGGGAGGCAGCAGUGGGGAAUCUUAGACAAUGGGCGCAAGCCUGAUCUAGCCAUGCCGCGUGGGUGAUGAAGGCCUUAGGGUCGUAAAGCCCUUUCGCCGGGGAAGAUAAUGACGGUACCCGGUAAAGAAACCCCGGCUAACUCCGUGCCAGCAGCCGCGGUAAUACGGAGGGGGUUAGCGUUGUUCGGAAUGACUGGGCGUAAAGCGCGCGUAGGCGGGCUGGAAAGUUGGGGGUGAAAUCCCGGGGCUCAACCCCGGAAUGGCCUUCAAGACUCCCAGCCUAGAGUUCGAGAGAGGUGAGUGGAAUUCCGAGUGUAGAGGUGAAAUUCGUAGAUAUUCGGAGGAACACCAGUGGCGAAGGCGGCUCACUGGCUCGACACUGACGCUGAGGUGCGAAAGCGUGGGAGCAAACAGGAUUAGAUACCCUAGUAGUCC